GAUGAAGAACGUAGCGAAAUGCGAUAAGUAGUGUGAAUUGCAGAAUUCAGUGAAUCAUCGAAUCUUUGAACGCACAUUGCGCCCCUUGGUAUUCCAUGGGGCAUGCCUGUUCGAGCGUCAUUUGUACCCUCAAGCUUUGCUUGGUGUUGGGUGUUUGUCCCGCGUUGCGCGUGGACUCGCCUUAAGGCGAUUGGCAGCCGGCAUAUUGGCCUUGGAGCGCAGCACAUUUUGCGCUUCUAGUCAUGAAUGUUGGCGUCCAUUAAGCCUAUACAUUUGCUCUUGACCUCGGAUCAGGUAGGGAUACCCGCUGAACUUAAGCAUAUCAAUAAGCGGAGGA
rnacentral:misc_RNA from 1 species